rnacentral:rRNA from 1 species
UACGGAAGAUCCAAGCGUUAUCCGGAAUUACUGGGCGUAAAGAGUUGCGUAGGUGGCAUAGUAAGCAGGUAGUGAAAUUGUGUGGCUCAACCAUACACCCAUUACCUGAACUGCUAAGCUUGAGUGUAGGAGAGGUACCUGGAAUUCCUAGUGUAGGAGUGAAAUCCGUAGAUAUUAGGAGGAACACCGAUGGCGUAGGCAGGGUACUGGCCUAUUACUGACACUAAGGCACGAAAGCGUGGGGAGCGAACCGG